rnacentral:rRNA from 1 species
GGGAGGCAGCAGUGGGGAAUCUUGCACAAUGGGCGAAAGCCUGAUGCAGCGACGCCGCGUGAAGGAUGAAGGCCUUCGGGUUGUAAACUUCUUUUGCAGGGGAAGAUAAUGACGGUACCCUGCGAAUAAGCCACGGCUAACUCUGUGCCAGCAGCCGCGGUAAGACAGAGGUGGCGAGCGUUGUUCGGAAUUACUGGGCUUAAAGGGCGCGUAGGCGGUGAUAUAAGUCUGGGGUGGAAGCCCAUAGCUUAACUAUGGGACUGCCCUGGAAACUGUAUUGCUUGAGUCGGACAGGGGAAGGCGGAAUUCCAGGUGUAGCGGUGAAAUGCGUAGAUAUCUGGAGGAAGGCCUGUGGUGAAGACGGCCUUCUGGGUCUUGACUGACGCUGAGGCGCGAAAGCGUGGGUAGCAAACAGGAUUAGAUACCCCGGU